rnacentral:rRNA from 1 species
UACGUAGGGUGCAAGCGUUGUCCGGAUUUAUUGGGCGUAAAGAGCUCGUAGGCGGUUUGUCGCGUCGGAUGUGAAAACCCAGGGCUCAACCCUGGGCCUGCAUUCGAUACGGGCAGGCUAGAGUGUGGUAGGGGAGAUCGGAAUUCCUGGUGUAGCGGUGAAAUGCGCAGAUAUCAGGAGGAACACCGGUGGCGAAGGCGGAUCUCUGGGCCAUUACUGACGCUGAGGAGCGAAAGCGUGGGGAGCGAACAGG